GCAGUCGACGAAGCAUUUAAGACAGAUUACUUCGGUUUGAAGUCUUUUAUGACUGAGUGGCGGACGGGUGAGUAACGCGUGGGUAACCUGCCUCAUACAGGGGGAUAGCAGCUGGAAACGGCUGGUAAUACCGCAUAAGCGCACGGUAUCGCAUGAUACAGUGUGAAAAACUCCGGCGGUAUGAGAUGGACCCGCGUCUGAUUAGCUGGUUGGUGAGGUAACGGCCCACCAAGGCGACGAUCAGUAGCCGACCUGAGAGGGUGACCGGCCACAUUGGGACUGAGACACGGCCCAGACUCCUACGGGAGGCAGCAGUGGGGAAUAUUGCACAAUGGAGGAAACUCUGAUGCAGCGACGCCGCGUGAGUGAAGAAGUAGUUCGCUAUGUAAAGCUCUAUCAGCAGGGAAGAUAGUGACGGUACCUGACUAAGAAGCUCCGGCUAAAUACGUGCCAGCAGCCGCGGUAAUACGUAUGGAGCAAGCGUUAUCCGGAUUUACUGGGUGUA
rnacentral:rRNA from 1 species